rnacentral:rRNA from 1 species
UGAAUACGAGACGCUACGGCGUCGAAGCAGUCUAUGUCAUACUUCCAAGAAAAGCUUGCACUGUCAUAAACAAAUAAUGCCUGUACCAUAACCGACACAGGUGGGUAGGUAGAGUAUACUAAGGGGCGCGAGAUAACUCUCUCUAAGGAACUCGGCAAAAUGACUCCGUAACUUCGGGAGAAGGAGUGCCUUAUUUAUAAGGUUGCAAUAACAAGAUCCAAGCAACUGUUUAUCAAAAACACAGGUCUCCGCUAAGUCGUAAGACGAUGUAUGGGGGCUGACGCCUGCCCAGUGCCAGAAGGUUAAAGAAGUUGGUUAGCAUUAGCGAAGCUGAUAACUGAAGCCCUGGUGAACGGCGGCCGUAACUAUAACGGUCCUAAGGUAGCGAAAUUCCUUGUCGGGUAAGUUCCGACCCGCACGAAAGGCGUAAUGAUUUGGAUACUGUCUCAGAGAGGGGCUCGGUGAAAUAGACUUGUCUGUGAAGAUGCGGACUACCUGCACCAGGACAGAAAGACCCUAUGAAGCUUUACUGUAACUUGAAAUUGAAAUUGGACUUUAUUUGCGCAGUAUAGGUGGGAGGCAUUGAUAAUAUUCUUGCGGGAAUGUUGGAGCCAUCAGUGAGAUACCACUCUUGUAAUGUUAGAUUUCUAACUUUGGAUCAUUAUCUGGUCAAAGGACAGUUUCAGGCGGGCAGUUUGACUGGGGCAGUCGCCUCCUAAAUGGUAACGGAGGCGCACAAAGGUUUCCUCUGAACGGGUAGAAAUCGUAUCUAGAGUGUAAAGGCAUAAGGAAGCUUGACUGUGAGACCUACAAGUCGAGCAGGGACGAAAGUCGGUCUUAGUGAUCUGACGGUGCUGAGUGGAAAGGCCGUCACUCAACGGAUAAAAGUUACUCUAAGGAUAACAGGCUGAUCUCCCCCAAGAGUUCACAUCGACGGGGAGGUUUGGCACCUCGAUGUCGGCUCAUCGCAUCCUGGGGCGGUAGUACGUCCCAAGGGUUGGGCUGUUCGCCCAUGAAAGCGGUACGCGAGCUGGGUUCAGAACGUCGUGAGACAGUUCGGUCCAUAUCCGGUGUAGGCGUUAGAAUAUUGAGAGGAGCCUUCUUUAGUACGAGAGGACCGAGAAGGACAUACCUCUGGUGUACCAGUUAUCGUGCCAACGGUAAACGCUGGGUAGCUAUGUAUGGAGAGGAUAACCGCUGAAAGCAUCUAAGUGGGAAGCCCACCUCAAGAUAAGUAUUCUC